UAUGAAGUGCCUGAAAAAUAGGGCUAUCUUGAUAGGGUAGAAAAUGUGGUUUAACACCUUCAUAU
rnacentral:tRNA from 1 species